rnacentral:rRNA from 1 species
UACGUAGGCAGCGAGCGUUGUUCGGAGUUACUGGGCGUAAAGGGUGUGUAGGCGGUUGUUUAAGUUUGGUGUGAAAUCUCCCGGCUCAACUGGGAGGGUGCGCCGAAUACUGAAUGACUAGAGUGCGGGAGAGGAAAGUGGAAUUCCUGGUGUAGCGGUGAAAUGCGUAGAUAUCGAGAGGAACACCUGCGGCGAAGGCGGGUUGCUGGGCUGACACUGACGCUGAACUGCGAAAGCUAGGGGAGCGAACGGG